rnacentral:rRNA from 1 species
GUGGGGAAUCUUCCGCAAUGGACGAAAGUCUGACGGAGCAACGCCGCGUGAGUGAAGAAGGUUUUCGGAUCGUAAAGCUCUUUCGUUAGGGACGAACGUGCUCUUUGUGAAUAAUGAGGAGUAAUGACGGUACCUAAAUAAGAAGCCACGGCUAACUACGUGCCAGCAGCCGCGGUAAUACGUAGGUGGCAAGCGUUGUCCGGAAUUAUUGGGCGUAAAGCGCGCGCAGGCGGGAUAUCAAGUCUGUCUUAAAAGUGCGAGGCUCAACCUCGUGAGGGGACAGAAACUGGUAUUCUUGAGUGUCGGAGAGGAAAGUGGAAUUCCAAGUGUAGCGGUGAAAUGCGUAGAGAUUUGGAAGAACACCAGUGGCGAAGGCGACUUACUGGGCCGUAACUGACGCUGAGGCGCGAAAGCGUGGGGAGCGAACAGGAUUAGAAACCCCAGUAGUCC